rnacentral:lncRNA from 1 species
CUGUGAAAAGGCAUAUGCUAGAGCUCUCUCUCGCCUGGUCGAAGCUUCCAGUCUGUUCUGAAUCCUCAUUUUAGAUACAUUGCUACUGACUGUGCUAUCAUCCCAGUCUUCCUGUUAAUAUCAUCUCAAAAAAACAAAUCAAAGUCAGGUGAAAUUCCUUAGUUCAGCCAACAUAUGUCACCCCAUAUAACUAUUUUGUUAAGAUUCUUCUUUGCUUUACCUUUACCCUGAAAAUCUGAGUUCUGGCUUUUUGAUGCACAUGGUGAGUCACAGCAGUGCUUUCUUCUCCAAAUGAGGAUCCUUCUACAGAAUUUCCGGUUUGCACUUCAAUUGAUGUGCCCAUAGACUCCCUACUUGGACUCCCCCUCCCUGAAACAGGCUCCUGCUUACUAUCAUUUGCUUUGUCUUCUUCAUUCCGAAGUGUAGCCUGAA